rnacentral:rRNA from 1 species
GACGAACGCUGGCGGCGUGCCUAAUACAUGCAAGUAGAACGCACAGUUUAUACCGUAGCUUGCUACACAAUAGACUGUGAGUUGCGAACGGGUGAGUAACCCGUAGUAAACAGGCCGGGAAGCGGGGGUUAACUAUUGGAAACGAAAGUUAUUACCGCUUACUAUUCUUUAUUGACGGAAAAUAAAUUGAAAGGUGAAUUUGAACACUACCAAAUUGGUCUUUAGUUGUAUUAGCUAGUAUGUGAGGUAACGGCUCACCUAGGCGACGAUACUUAGCCGACCUGCGAGGGUGAUCGGCCACACUGGGACUGAGACACGGCCCAGACUCCUACGGGAGGCAGCAGUAGGGAAUCUUCGGCAAUGGACGAAAGUCUGACCGAGCAACGCCGCGUGAGUGAAGAAGGUUUUCGGAUCGUAAAGCUCUGUUGUAAGAGAAGAACGGGUGUGAGAGUGGAAAGUUCACACUGUGACGGUAUCUUACCAGAAAGGGACGGCUAACUACGUG